rnacentral:rRNA from 1 species
ACGCUCGACACCUACGGAGGCAGCAGUGGGGAAUAUUGCACAAUGGGGGAAACCCUGAUGCAGCGACGCCGCGUGGAGGAAGAAGGUCUUCGGAUUGUAAACUCCUGUUGUUGGGGAAAAGAGGAUGGUACCCAACAAGGAAGUGACGGCUAACUACGUGCCAACAGCCGCGGUAAUCUGAGCGGGCUGGCAAGGC